UAAGGGGGAUGGAAAAAGAGGAGAGGGUUUUUAGAGAUUUUAUGAGCUAAAACUACCAAAAACCAAAAACUUUUCACUGUUAUAUUGGAAUUCCAGAAAAUCCAUAGUCUCCAUUCUCAAAUCAUUCUUGGAUAGAUUUUGUGGUCCAAUUGUGUUAGAAAUUACUGUUCCAUUGGUUUUAAGUUGAAUUCUGGUUCAUUCGCUAAGUCUGGAUGUCAUUUGCUGUUGAUUCCUAUCCCUGUUAUUACUGCUGUUGAACCUGCUGCUGAUUUUUUCUUUAUUUCCUUCUUCUUCCAGGUACUUCUCGCAUCCUGAACCACAUGUGAAUUGCGAAUAUCUGUUUCAACUUGGAAGUUUAGUGAUAAAUGUUGUUCGAGUGAAGUCCAGC
rnacentral:lncRNA from 1 species